CUGCAGCUGAAGAGUCCAAAAACUAGGACGAAACAGCUGUCCAGCAC
rnacentral:hammerhead_ribozyme from 1 species